rnacentral:rRNA from 1 species
AUGCACAAACUGUUGUGUUUUUUUGGUAACUCACGGCUGUGUGUAGCUCUUGUAUGUCUUCGAAAUACUUAUGCAUAUUGUUGUUGGUACAUAUCUUCAGUACAAGUUUGGAAGGCCAGGAUGUUCUACCACCGGCAUACACCAAGUUCACAGACAUUGCAUGGAGUGAGCCGCCGCCGCCAUAAAAAAUGGUUUAUUAGCAUACCGUUUUUUGGUACUUGUGCAUACGGUUGUAGAAGUGAAAUUUGUUGGGUGCAUGUGCAGAAAAAUCGUCAGUUCAGUUUUCAAAAAUUCUGGAAGUUUGUUUUGAUUCUAUAA